rnacentral:lncRNA from 1 species
GCGUGCGUUCAUUUAGAUCCACUUCCAUGGCCUUCUGAGGUGGGAAUGGCCCAGCCCUUGGAAAGAAUAUGUGCCUGUGCUCUUGAGACCAUGGGGGAGGGGAGAGUUAACCCUUUCCUGCUGGUAGGCUUGGUGUGUAGAUCCCUGGGUAGAAACUCCUGCUUCUCUGGGCUUCCUACUCCUCAGCUACAAAAUGAGAAGACGGGAAUCUUUUGGGAUUUCUCAUGUGGGUGAUCUGUGAAGAGUCCGUAUUCUAUCCCAAAGGUAUUGUUACUCUGGACAACAGGCCGUCUGUAGUUAUUUUAAGGUGGACUAUCAUAGUAAUGUUAUUUAAAGUGAAAACGUCAAAGUUACAUGCUUCUUUAAAAAUCGAUGGUCUCAAUAUUACACUUACUAUUAUCUUCAUUUUGAGUGUAUAGUACCCUUACCCCUCUUCCACUCCUAGAUGAGACCCCACCUCCCUAACCACCUAACUUUUCUUCUUCCUCCCUCUCCUCCUCCUCUUCCUCCUCUCCUCCUCUUCCUCUUCCUCCUCCUCUUCCCCUUCUCUUCCUCUUCCUCCUCCUCCCCCUCCUCUUCCUCUUCCACUUCCUCUCUCCCCCCCCCUCCUUCUCCUCCUUCCCUACCACCCUCCUCUUCCUUCUCAUCAUGUACCGUAUGUGUUGGCUGUGUAUUUUUGGCUAUAUGGCCUUCCACUGGAGCAUGGUUGACUCAUUAGAGGCCACGGCAUUAAUGAAAACCUUCCCCCUCUCAACAUCUGUUAGUUGCCACCAGCUCCUUUUAAAAAAAUUGACACUUAGAAAUAUUCUCCGUGGGCUUUUCAGGCACUCUCCUUAGAAACAGCUAAAAAGCAGUAUGCAGAGAUCACGAUGAAUCUCUUAUGAGGUCCGAGUCGGUAGGUGACCUCCCAGUGGUAUUCUUGCACUGUCUGUUUGCCUUAGUGCUUCAAACUAUUAUGGUGGAAAGCCCUUUUUACCUUCAAAUGCCCAAAAGGAUUUUUUCCUCCUGACCGUUUCUGCAUGUCUACCAAUGACAUAAAAUAUUAAAGAAUAAGACUUGAAAUGGGAAGGACUGGCUGCACAGGACCUGAGCACUCUGUAGUGUGCUGACCUGGACAGGCAGGAAUAGUGGGGCUGGGUGGCCAAGCUUCCUGUCCAUACAUGGGCGGUUAGCACGGUAAGCAGGCCCUUCAGAGGCCUGGAUCCUGCCCCGGCUUUGUUAUUCCUUAAGGCAGUGAGUGGGUAGUGGUGUUAAGUGACCCUGGGCCUGUGGAGCAGGCUGGAAGAACACCAUUUCCCCUUCCCCACCAGGCACCCCUUGGAAACCUGUGGGCCUCCUUACAGCACAUUCUUGACUUGACAUAGUUAGCAGGCUUUCCUUUGGGUUUGACUCAGGCCACGAUGGGGCUGCCAGCUUCUUUGAAGAUGUUUAUUUCAUGGCUCAUUUGGAAGAUUCUCCAUGGAUAUGUAACAUGGUCUCAGAAUGUUGGGUCAUUCUACACUUGUUCUUUGAGACUGGCUGUUUUUCCAUCUUUGCUGUGGGUCACUUUAGACUUCUCAGGAGCAUCUCUAGCUUUAUUUUAUGGUCCCUUAUCUUGAGGACAGCCACGGGAGCCGUACGUAGGCCCAAAGGAGCCUGGCUUGCCUGAGGCUGUGAGAGAAGAUUUGGGAGGAAAAUAUAGAUUUUAGAAUUAUGGAUAUUUAAAUAAGGAAAAGAUCCCAAAGCAUUUCUUACUCAUAUGAGCAAUCACUUCCUUAACUUGUGGAUGGAAAUACGUUCUGAAAUUUGUUUAGUCAGCCCCCUCUGAAAUAAAUAUAAUUACAGCAGUGAUAUCAUUUCUGUUUAAAAUUUUUGAAAAGGUAUCAAGACAACGUGAUUAAGGCCUAAUUGUUUGCCAAAUUUUCUUUAAAGUUACAUUUUUUUGGGGGAGGGGUUCUGUGCCAAAAAACAUCUUAAACUGAUGAACAUAUAGUUCUCCUCACUGAUUUUGGCUGGGUUUUAAUUAGAUGACUGCUUUCAUAGUUGAGGAAAUACAUUCAGGUCGGUCCUACGCCCCAUGGUGCCAGAUUUCAAUCC